rnacentral:Y_RNA from 1 species
ACUUGGUCUGGUGCAGUGAUGUUUACAAUUGAUCGAUCACCACCAGUUGCAGAUUUCUUUGUUCAUUCUCCACUCCCACUGCUUUACUUGACUAGCCUUAA